AACGUAGGAGACAAACGUUAUCCGGAGUUACUGGGCGUAAAGGGCGUGCAGGCGGUCAUUUAAGUUCGGCGUGAAAGCUCCUGGCUAAACCGGGAGAGGUCGUCGGAGACUGGAUGGCUUGAGGGUGAUAGAGGUGGGUGGAAUUCCGGGUGUAGUGGUGAAAUGCGUAGAGAUCCGGAGGAACACCAGUGGCGAAGGCGACCCACUGGAUCACACCUGACGCUGAGACGCGACAGCAUGGGGAGCAAACGGG
rnacentral:rRNA from 1 species